rnacentral:rRNA from 1 species
AGAGUUUGAUCAUGGCUCAGGAUGAACGCUAGCGGCAGGCUUAAUACAUGCAAGUCGUGGGGCAGCACAGGUAGCAAUACUGGGUGGCGACCGGCAAACGGGUGCGGAACACGUACGGAACCUUCCUUUAAGCGGGGGAUAGCCCAGGGAAACUUGGAUUAAUACCCCAUAAGACUAUAGAGUGGCAUCACUUAGUAGUU